CCUACGGGUGGCAGCAGUGAGGAAUAUUGGUCAAUGGGCGAGAGCCUGAACCAGCCAAGUCGCGUGAGGGAAGACGGUCCUAUGGAUUGUAAACCUCUUUUGUCGGGGAGCAAAAGACGCCACGUGUGGCGUUCCGAGAGUACCCGAAGAAAAAGCAUCGGCUAACUCCGUGCCAGCAGCCGCGGUAAUACGGAGGAUGCGAGCGUUAUCCGGAUUUAUUGGGUUAAAAGGGUGCGCAGGCGGAAGAUCAAGUCAGCGGUAAAAUUGGGAGGCUCAACUCCUUCGAGCCGUUGAAACUGGUUGUCUUGAGUGAGCGAGAAGUAUGCGGAAUGCGUGGUGUAGCGGUGAAAUGCAUAGAUAUCACGCAGAACUCCGAUUGCGAAGGCAGCAUACCGGCGCUCAACUGACGCUGAGGCACGAAAGCGUGGGUAUCGAACAGGAUUAGAUACCCCUGUAGUC
rnacentral:rRNA from 1 species